GAUGAACGCUAGCGGCAGGCUUAAUACAUGCAAGUCGAGGGGCAUCAAGGUACACGAAAGUGUAUUGUUGGCGACCGGCGGACGGGUGAGUAAUAGGUAGGUAACCUACCUCAUACUGAGGCAUAGCUGGGAGAAAUUCCAGGUAAUUCCUCAUGAGGUUAUAUGACACAUGUGAUAUAAUCAAAGGUAUCGCAAGGUACUGGUAUGAGAUGGGCUUACUGACCAUUAGCUAGUUGGUGAGAUAAGAGCUCACCAAGGCGAAGAUGGUUAGGGGUUUUGAGAGAGAGAUCCCCCACAUUGGAACUGAGAUACGGUCCAGACUCCUACGGGAGCAGCAGUAGGGAAUAUUGGGCAAUGGGCGGAAGCCUGACCCAGCCAUGCCGCGUGAAGGAAGACGGCCUUAUGGGUUGUAAACUUCUUUACUAUGCGACUAACUAGAUUUACGAGAUAAUUCUAUAGAAUGUAGCAUAGCAAAAGCACCGG
rnacentral:rRNA from 1 species